AACCGAGCUAGGGCUCCGCUCUGCAUAACAAUAUCAACCACUUUUGUAAUUUAAGUAACGUUAUAAAUACAAGUGGGCCUCGUUUACACUCACAACAGUGAAGUGAACGGCGCCCAUAACUCGUCAGCGAAGGAACGCGGGAAAACCUAUUUUGACAGUUGAUUCGAGAGAAAUUUUGCGCGCGUUUUUGACAAGCCACCAUGUUUGUUUUGAAGACUCUAGUGUUCUGCUCGGCGUGGCUGCUGAUACAAGGCCAAGGAUCAAACGUUCCCGCCACCACUCCGGUCCCGAUCCUAAAGCAAAUCAACAGACAAAACGAUGACGGAUCGUACAGUUACGGCUAUGAAGCAGCCGACGGUUCAUUCAAGAUUGAAACGAAGUACCCUAAUGGGGAUGUCGCGGGGAAGUAUGGGUAUAUCGACGAGAGUGGGAAACAAAGGGAGAUCUCGUACGGAGCCAGCAGCGCUAGAGGAUUCGAACCCCAAGGAGCCGGUAUCAUGGUCCCACCACCGACGCUGCACGACCCGUCUUCCAACGCUUUGACUGAUGGACAAGAAGACGACGGUCAGUACCGCGAGGACCCAAAGAUCUACGAAGACCCGAAAUACAACGGCAGACAGAGCGCGAAACCUGCUCAAGGAUUCAGACAGUUCCAGCAACCAGCCCAGCCGGCUCAACCUGAACCGCAAUACCAACGGCAACAGUACCAGAGCUUCCAAUCGAGCUUCCCAGCACAGCCCCAAUACCAACCGCAGCCUCAGUACCAGCAACCCCAAAGUCAAUACCAACAAGCGCAAUAUCAACCCCAACCUCAAUCCCAAAGUCAAUACAGGUCGCCGCUAUUCUCGCAGCAAAGCAACCUCUUCAAUCAGGCACCUCAACAGUUCCCUCAAAGCCAAGUUUAUCACCAACAACCUCAGUUUUCGUAUCAAGCGUUCACGCCACAGCCAUCCAGCCAAUUCCAGUCCCAGAACUACCAGGCCCAGUCCAAUCCAUUCAACGGCCACCCAGCCCAGAACUUUGAUCCCAGCACCGGCUCUUACUCUAUUAACUUCACCGGCUAAGUUGAAAUGUUGUGAGAAGACAAGUGAGAAAAUAUAAGACGCAUAACAUAGUCAUUCAUAAUUUCAAUAUUCAAAUUUGUCGUCUAAUUAAAUUGUAAACUUUGUGUUUGUUUGUUCGUAAGUUCGCCACAGUGGGUGGGUGGAUAUCGAAUGUGGUAUAUUAUUUUUAACCAGUUUAUUAUUAUGAGAUAUGCUGUAACCGACAUGGUUAUUUUGUGUUUUGCAUUAUUUUUUUGCAUUUUCUUGAUCAAAAGAGACAAAACACAUUGUAACCGCGUGGUGGCUAGGUCGUAAAUAUUAAAAACAAGAAUGUUCAUUUCGCUCAAAUCGUUUUGAUAAAUAAAGAAAUAUUUCAGUUGAUUUUCGCGGGUAAAAUAAAAAUUUCGGGUUCAAUGUAGCAUUUAUCUUUAAAAAAAAUAACAAUUUCCGAAGUUUCCAAUAUUUUACAAAUUUCAUGGUUACUAAGGUAUCACUUGUUAAAAUUAGUUACCAAAUUUUAAUAUUUAUGCCAACCACCGUAAAAAAUAUUAAGGCUUUUUUUUAAGCAAAGGUAUUAUGAACGUAAAAUGAAAAGAACAAUCGCUAUCAUAAACAGCCAAAGCAGAUUAAAUUGUUAAAAUAUCGUGACAAAUUCACAAAUUCAUUUAAACACGGGCUAAUACAAAUUGAAUUGGCAAACCUAAGACCUAAAUAAUUGUAGUUAUUGAAGACUAUAAUUGAGUCAAUAUUGAAGCUUAAAGAUUUGUUAGUGUAUAUAAAUAACGUUAAUGAUUGUAGUUGAGCUCAUUUUUAUAUAAUCUGUAUUUUAUUUUUCACUUUUUCGAACUAGUCAGGAAGUAUAUAAAAUAUGUAAACUAACAAAUUUAUUUAAAAUAUUAAACAAUCUUCGGAUCAAUCUUAUGAAUUGAUAAAUAAAAAUAUGUUUAUUUUCUGCUUUUCACAAAACCUUCAAGAAUCAUUUUGAAAUAGCUGGAAACUUUUUAACAUUAGGUAUCUGAAUUUCAAUAAUUUAAUUUUGACAUAUUUAUUCUUAAUAAAACACAUUAGACACACACAUAUACACAGAUUCUUUCAGGUUAUGUUGCAUCUGUAUUUUGUAUUUAUAAUUGAUUAAUAAUUAUUUAAAAUUAACGAUUUAUUCAAUAUAUUAUAAAUUUCAAUAAAAAAUUUACAUCAUGGUUUGUAACACUAAUUGUAUCAAUUUAUAAUUUUGCAUAUUACGGAACUGAGUCUUAAAAAUAAAUAAGGCUAUGUGCUUACGUCAAUAAAUUUUACAUUACAAUUGUGUAACAAACAAACAGUAUUAUGAAUGCAACGAAACACGGAACGUGCGGAUUGCAAAAUGGCCGCGGCAACGGACACGUGCCUUGUGUGUAAAUUGACAAAUAAAUAAAAUGUUAUGUAGUUG